GACUCGGUGGUGGACGGCCGCCCGCGCUCCAUUGAUGCUGACGAUAAGGCAUGUAGCGGGAGGCGCCUGUUCGACUCAGGCCCGAGUCA